rnacentral:lncRNA from 1 species
UUGAUGAGGAACUGCCAAACUGAUUAUUUCAUGUGUGUGCGUAAUAAACAAAAUCAAGUAAUUUUGCAUCAUCCAUGUGUUACUACACAAAAAGAAUAGAAAGGAUAAAAGAUUUAAAGCGGAUUACUCUGUCAGUCAUUAUAAUUUUAGUGUGAUUUUACUGACAGUUACUACGCUGGUGUCCUUAUUAUACAGUAGAAAACAAAAGAUCCAGAGAAAGA